CAGUAGCCGCGGUAAUACGUAGGUGGCAAGCGUUGUCCGGAAUUAUUGGGCGUAAGGGGCUCGCAGGCGGUUUCUUAAGUCUGAUGUGAAAGCCCCCGGCUCAACCGGGGAGGGUCAUUGGAAACUGGGAAACUUGAGUGCAGAAGAGGGGAGUGGAAUUCCACGUGUAGCGGUGAAAUGCGUAGAGAUGUGGAGGAGCACCAGUAGCGAAGGCGACUCUCUGGUCUGUAACUGACGCUGAGGAGCGAAAGCGUGGGGAGCGAACAGGAUUAGAUACCCGCGUAGUCCCUGUCUCUUAUAC
rnacentral:rRNA from 1 species